UACGAAGGGGGCUAGCGUUGCUCGGAAUCACUGGGCGUAAAGGGUGCGUAGGCGGGUUUUUAAGUCAGAGGUGAAAUCCUGGAGCUCAACUCCAGAACUGCCUUUGAUACUGGGAAUCUUGAGUAUGGAAGAGGUGAGUGGAACUGCGAGUGUAGAGGUGAAAUUCGUAGAUAUUCGCAAGAACACCAGUGGCGAAGGCGGCUCACUGGCCCGGAACUGACGCUGAGGUGCGAAAGCGUGGGGAGCAAACAGG
rnacentral:rRNA from 1 species